CCUACGGGUGGCAGCAGUGAGGAAUAUUGGUCAAUGGACGAGAGUCUGAACCAGCCAAGUAGCGUGAAGGAUGACUGCCCUAUGGGUUGUAAACUUCUUUUAUAUGGGAAUAAAAUGUUCCACGUGUGGGAUUUUGUAUGUACCAUAUGAAUAAGGAUCGGCUAACUCCGUGCCAGCAGCCGCGGUAAUACGGAGGAUCCGAGCGUUAUCCGGAUUUAUUGGGUUUAAAGGGAGCGUAGGUGGAUUGUUAAGUCAGUUGUGAAAGUUUGCGGCUCAACCGUAAAAUUGCAGUGGAAACUGGCAGUCUUGAGUACAGUAGAGGUGGGCGGAAUUCGUGGUGUAGCGGUGAAAUGCUUAGAUAGCACGAAGAACUCCGAUUGCGAAGGCAGUUCACUGGACUGCAACUGACACUGAGGCUCGAAAGUGUGGGUAUCAAACAGGAUUAGAUACCCUUGUAGUC
rnacentral:rRNA from 1 species